rnacentral:rRNA from 1 species
CUCAUGGUUUCACGGUAUUGCAAUGAGAACAAUUUAAAACCCUUAGCGAGAAUCAAGUGGAGGACAAGUCUGGUGCCAGCACCCGCGGUAAUUCCAGCUCCACUAGCGUAUAUUAAAGUUGUUGCAGUUAAAAAGCUCGUAGUUGAACCUCUGUCUGGGGCUAGUUUUGGCUUUGGUCAGGCUAGUUCUAGGCAUCCGCCUACAAGACUUAGAGGGCAUUCAGUUGUUCACUAGGAGGAGUAGGCAUUUUACUUUGAAAAAAAUUAGAGUGUUUAAGGCAGGCAAUCGCCCGCAUAUAUUAGCAUGGAAUAAUAGAAUAGGACACUUUUCCAUUUCGUUGGUUAUUGGAAUCGUGUAAUGAUUAAUAGGGACAGUUGUGGGCAUUUGUAUUUAAUUGUCAGAGGUGCAAUUCUUGGAUUUAUUAAAGACAAACUAACGCGAAAGCAUUUGCCAAGGAUGUUUUCAUUAAUCAAGAACGAAAGUUAGGGGAUCAAAGACGAUCAGAUACCGUCCUAGUCUUAACUAUAAACUAUUCCGACUCAAUGUUUGACUGGCUUAUAUAACCAGUUGAGCGUUGUAUGAGAAAUCAAAGUCUUGGGUUCUGGGGGGAGUAUGGUUGCAAAGCUGAAGCUUAAAGGAAUUGACGGAAGAGCACAACCAGGAGUGGAUUCUGCGGCUUAAUUUGACUCAACACGGGGAAACUUACCAGGUUAAAACAAUAGUGGGAUUGACAGUUUGAGAGCGCUUUCUUGAUUGGUUGGGUGGUGGUGCAUGGCCGUUCUUAGUUGGUGGAGUGAUUUGUCUGCUUAAUUGCGUUAACGAACGAGACCUUAACCUGCUUACUAGACUGGCGAUCAUCAAUCGUUAGCUCUUCUUAGAGGGACUUUGGUUGUUUUAACUCCAAGGAAGUUUGAGGCAAUAACAGGUCUGUGAUGCCCUUAGAUAUCCUGGGCCGCACGCGUCAUACAAUGACUAGUUCAGAAAGUUUUCUCCUGACCCGAAAGGGGAUGGGUAAUCUUGAUAAUACUAGUCGUGUUAGGGAUCGAUCUUUGCAAUUAUAGAUCUUGAACGAGGAAUUCCUAGUAAGUGCGGUUCAUCAGACCGUACUGGUUACGUCCCUGCUCUUUGUACACACCGCCCGUCGCUUCUACCGAGUGGGUGGUCCGGUGAGAUAAUUGAAC